CCUANGGGAGGCAGCAGUGAGGAAUAUUGGGCAAUGGGCGGAAGCCUGACCCAGCAACGCCGCGUGGAGGAAGAAGGCCUUUGGGUUGUAAACUCCUUUUAUGGGGGAAGAGGAAGGACGGUACCCCAGGAAUAAGUCACGGCUAACUACGUGCCAGCAGCCGCGGUAAUACGUAGGUGACGAGCGUUAUCCGGAAUUACUGGGCGUAAAGCGCACGCAGGCGGCGCGGUAAGUGACAGGUGAAAGCCCUCGGCUCAACCGAGGAAUUGCCUGCCAAACUGCUGUGCUUGAGGCCGGGAGGGGAGAGUGGAAUUCCUGGUGUAGCGGUGAAAUGCGUAGAUACCAGGAGGAACACCGGUGGCGAAGGCGGCUCUCUGGACCGGUUCUGACACUCAUGCGCGAAAGCGUGGGGAGCAAACAGGAUUAGAUACCCCANUANUC
rnacentral:rRNA from 1 species